rnacentral:rRNA from 1 species
UGAACGCUGGCGGCAGGCCUAACACGUGCAAGUCGAGCGGAUGAAAGGAGCUUGCUCCUGGAUUCAGCGGCGGACGGGUGAGUAAUGCCUAGGAAUCUGCCUGGUAGUGGGGGACAACGUUUCGAAAGGAACGCUAAUACCGCAUACGUCCUACGGGAGAAAGCAGGGGACCUUCGGACCUUGCGCUAUCAGAUGAGCCUAGGUCGGAUUAGCUAGUUGGUGAGGUAAUGGCUCACCAAGGCGACGAUCCGUAACUGGUCUGAGAGGAUGAUCAGUCACACUGGAACUGAGACACGGUCCAGACUCCUACGGGAGGCAGCAGUGGGGAAUAUUGGACAAUGGGCGAAAGCCUGAUCCAGCCAUGCCGCGUGUGUGAAGAAGGUCUUCGGAUUGUAAAGCACUUUAAGUUGGGAGGAAGGGUUGUAGAUUAAUACUCUGCAAUUUUGACGUUACCGACAGAAUAAGCACCGGCUAACUCUGUGCCAGCC